AAAGCACCGGCUAACUACGUGCCAGCAGCCGCGGUAAUACGUAGGGUGCAAGCGUUAUCCGGAAUUAUUGGGCGUAAAGAGCUCGUAGGCGGUUUGUCGCGUCUGCUGUGAAAUCUGGGGGCUCAACCCCCAGCCUGCAGUGGGUACGGGCAGACUAGAGUGCGGUAGGGGAGAUUGGAAUUCCUGGUGUAGCGGUGGAAUGCGCAGAUAUCAGGAGGAACACCGAUGGCGAAGGCAGAUCUCUGGGCCGUAACUGACGCUGAGGAGCGAAAGGGUGGGGAGCAAACAGGCUUAGAUACCCUGGUAGUCCACCCCGUAAACGUUGGGAACUAGUUGUGGGGUCCAUUCCACGGAUUCCGUGACGCAGCUAACGCAUUAAGUUCCCCGCCUGGGGAGUACGGCCGCAAGGCUAAAACUCAAAGGAAUUGACGGGGACCCGCACAAGCGGCGGAGCAUGCGGAUUAAUUCGAUGCAACGCGAAGAACCUUACCAAGGCUUGACAUAUACGAGAACGGGCCAGAAAUGGUCAACUCUUUGGACACUCGUAAACAGGUGGUGCAUGGUUGUCGUCAGCUCGUGUCGUGAGAUGUUGGGUUAAGUCCCGCAACGAGCGCAACCCUCGUUCUAUGUUGCCAGCACGUUAUGGUGGGAACUCAUGGGAUACUGCCGGGGUCAACUCGGAGGAAGGUGGGGAUGACGUCAAAUCAUCAUGCCCCUUAUGUCUUGGGCUUCACGCAUGCUACAAUGGCCGGUACAAUGGGCUGCAAUACCGUGAGGUGGAGCGAAUCCCAAAAAGCCGGUCCCA
rnacentral:rRNA from 1 species